GACGAACGCUGGCGGCGUGCUUAACACAUGCAAGUCGAACGAUGAAGAAGAGCUUGCUCUUCGGAUUAGUGGCGAACGGGUGAGUAACACGUGACUAACCUGCCCCUUUCUCUGGGAUAACGCUCCGAAAGGAGUGCUAAUACCGGAUACUCACAUCGAGGCACAUGCCUUGAUGUGGAAAGUUUUUCGGAAAGGGAUGGAGUCGCGGCCUAUCAGCUUGUUGGUGAGGUAACGGCUCACCAAGGCGACGACGGGUAGCCGGCCUGAGAGGGCAACCGGCCACACUGGGACUGAGACACGGCCCAGACUCCUACGGGAGGCAGCAGUGGGGAAUAUUGCACAGUGGGCGAAAGCCUGAUGCAGCGACGCCGCGUGAGGGAUGAAGGUCUCCGGAUUGUAAACCUCUUUCAGUAGGGACGAAGCGAAAGUGACGGUACCUAAAGAAGAAGCACCGGCUAACUACGUGCCAGCAGCCGCCGUAA
rnacentral:rRNA from 1 species